rnacentral:rRNA from 1 species
AUUGAACGCUGGCGGCAGGCCUAACACAUGCAAGUCGAACGAGUGGCGGACGGGUGAGUAAUGUCUGGGAAACUGCCCGAUGGAGGGGGAUAACUACUGGAAACGGUAGCUAAUACCGCAUACUAUCGGAUGAACCCAUAUGGGAUUAGCUUGUUGGUGGGGUAAAGGCUCACCUAGGCGACGAUCCCUAGCUGGUCUGAGAGGAUGACCAGCCACACUGGAACGUAGACACGGUCCAGACUCCUACGGGAGGCAGCAGUGGGGAAUAUGGCACAAUGGGCGCAAGCCUGAUGCAGCCAUGCCGCGUGUAUGAAGAAGGCCUUCGGGUUGUAAAGUACUUUCAGCGGGGAGGCGUUACCCGCAGAAGAAGCACCGGCUAACUCCGUGCCAGCAGCCGCGGUAAUUC